rnacentral:tRNA from 2 species
GGACAAAUAGCUCCAAUGGUAGAGCGCCGGUUUGAAGAACCGGGUGUGCAGGUUCGAAUCCUGCUUUGUCCA